UGAUUGGACCAAGUGAGCAGGAAGUAG
rnacentral:piRNA from 1 species